rnacentral:lncRNA from 1 species
GUUAUAUUUCACAAGAGACCAUAACAUAACAUGUGAAGUCUCUUAAACUUGUAAAAUGCUCCAUGGUGCAAAGUGGUGUUGAUAAGUAUUAAAUAAUGCAUCCUCCUCAAAAAAAAUAAAACUAUUAACUGAUGAAUCAUCACGAAAAAAGAGGUUAACGGAUACUUGAACGUGUUCUGUUUUGAAGUUCAUGGUAGGUAGGCUGCACUUUCUAUGAACAAUUAGUAAUCAUUCUCAUAUAUACACUAUGCAGGGAGCAAGAAAAUCUUUACUACAAUGAAAUUUGCAAUAUGUUGUGUUGAAAACUUAUUUAUUUGAAGAAAAAAAAAUUGUUGUUAAUAUUUUGGUAAUAUACAUACCUCCAAUGGGGAUCAC